rnacentral:rRNA from 1 species
GAUGAACGCUGGCGGCGUGCCUAGUACAUGCAAGUCGAGCGAACAGAUGAGGAGCUUGCUCCUCUGACGUUAGCGGCGGACGGGUGAGUAACACGUGGAUAACCUACCUAUAAGACUGGGAUAACUACGGGAAACCGGAGCUAAUACCGGAUAAUAUAUUGAACCGCAUGGUUCAAUAGUGAAAGACGGUUUUGCUGUCACUUAUAGAUGGAUCCGCGCCGCAUUAGCUAGUUGGUAAGGUAACGGCUUACCAAGGCAACGAUGCGUAGCCGACCUGAGAGGGUGAUCGGCCACACUGGAACUGAGACACGGUCCAGACUCCUACGGGAGGCAGCAGUAGGGAAUCUUCCGCAAUGGGCGAAAGCCUGACGGAGCAACGCCGCGUGAGUGAUGAAGGUCUUCGGAUCGUAAAACUCUGUUAUUAGGGAAGAACAAAUGUGUAAGUAACUAUGCACGUCUUGACGGUACCUAAUCAGAAAGCCACGGCUAACUACGUG